rnacentral:tRNA from 1 species
GGGCUCGUAGCUCAGUCUGAUAGAGCGCUUCGUUGACAUCGAAGAGGUCACAGGUUUAAGUCCUGUCGGGCCCA